CCCUCAAGUCCUGCAUUUGACAGCACCCACACCCUCCAACCCAACGCUGUCCACACUCUGCUCGGAGGUGACAGUGGCACCCCAUAGGGCUGGGUGACAGCAACUCCAUCCUUGCCAAACGCAGGCUGGUGGGACUAGUGUAGAUGGGACUUGUUGGUUGGUGUGGGCAAAUGUGCUCCAUGACUCUCUAACUCAAACUAAAGCAAACCAAUGUCCAUUCCUGGCCAGAACAGGACCCCCUGUGAAAUACGUCUGGUUUCAUCCCAGUCUGGCCUCCAGUAGGCAAGGGGCACUAACUAACAAUGCAUCUUAGGGCAAGGCAAUGGAAGGAAAAUAUCCCAGGCUAGGGUGGUUAGUUUGGUUGAUGAUAACACAGGAAGGGCAUGUGCUGAUGUCUACAGUGGGUGCUGUCUACAAUGGACUCUCUGUAAUGGUCAGUUCACAGCUAGUGUUAAAGGUAGUGUUUAUAUCGGGCAGAGUCUACAGAGAGUGCCGCUUACAGAAGAGAGGAUAAAGAGGGAAGUGAGUGUUGUCUGUAGUCUUCUAUUAGUUUCGAGAGAUGCAGCAUGGGAACAGGCCCUUCGGCCCAUCGAGUCCACGCCGAA